AGACCCGAAACCCGGUGAUCUAGCCAUGGGCAGGUUGAAGGUUGGGUAACACUAACUGGAGGACCGAACCGACUAAUGUUGAAAAAUUAGCGGAUGACCUGUGGCUGGGGGUGAAAGGCCAAUCAAACCGGGAGAUAGCUGGUUCUCCCCGAAAGCUAUUUAGGUAGCGCCUCGUGAAUUCAUCUCCGGGGGUAGAGCACUGUUUCGGCUAGGGGGCCAUCCCGGCUUACCAACCCGAUGCAAACUGCGAAUACCGGAGAAUGUUAUCACGGGAGACACACGGCGGGUGCUAACGUCCGUCGUGAAGAGGGAAACAACCCAGACCGCCAGCUAAGGUCCCAAAGUCAUGGUUAAGUGGGAAACGAUGUGGGAAGGCCCAGACAGCCAGGAUGUUGGCUUAGAAGCAGCCAUCAUUUAAAGAAAGCGUAAUAGCUCACUGGUCGAGUCGGCCUGCGCGGAAGAUGUAACGGGGCUAAACCAUGCACCGAAGCUGCGGCAGCGAACGUAUCACCCAAGACAACUUUACGGAGUUGACGAUUGACGGAGCGAAGCGACGUCAAAGCGUUCAUUAAAGUCGAGUUGGCUUAGGGAUACGUUCGUUGGGUAGGGGAGCGUUCUGUAAGCCUGUGAAGGUGUGUCGUGAGGCAUGCUGGAGGUAUCAGAAGUGCGAAUGCUGACAUAAGUAACGAUAAAGCGGGUGAAAAGCCCGCUCGCCGGAAGACCAAGGGUUCCUGUCCAACGUUAAUCGGGGCAGGGUGAGUCGACCCCUAAGGCGAGGCCGAAAGGCGUAGUCGAUGGGAAACGGGUUAAUAUUCCCGUACUUGGUGUUACUGCGAAGGGGGGACGGAGAAGGCUAUGUUGGCCGGGCGACGGUUGUCCCGGUUUAAGCGUGUAGGUGUGUGUUCCAGGUAAAUCCGGUUCACUUUAACACUGAGGCGUGACGACGAGGCACUACGGUGCUGAAGCAACAAAUGCCCUGCUUCCAGGAAAAGCCUCUAAGCAUCAGGUAACACGAAAUCGUACCCCAAACCGACACAGGUGGUCAGGUAGAGAAUACCAAGGCGCUUGAGAGAACUCGGGUGAAGGAACUAGGCAAAAUGGUGCCGUAACUUCGGGAGAAGGCACGCUGACACGUAGGUGAAGUGAUUUACUCAUGGAGCUGAAGUCAGUCGAAGAUACCAGCUGGCUGCAACUGUUUAUUAAAAACACAGCACUGUGCAAACACGAAAGUGGACGUAUACGGUGUGACGCCUGCCCGGUGCCGGAAGGUUAAUUGAUGGGGUCAGCGCAAGCGAAGCUCCUGAUCGAAGCCCCGGUAAACGGCGGCCGUAACUAUAACGGUCCUAAGGUAGCGAAAUUCCUUGUCGGGUAAGUUCCGACCUGCACGAAUGGCGUAAUGAUGGCCAGGCUGUCUCCACCCGAGACUCAGUGAAAUUGAACUCGCUGUGAAGAUGCAGUGUACCCGCGGCAAGACGGAAAGACCCCGUGAACCUUUACUAUAGCUUGACACUGAACAUUGAGCCUUGAUGUGUAGGAUAGGUGGGAGGCUUUGAAGUGUGGACGCCAGUCUGCAUGGAGCCGACCUUGAAAUACCACCCUUUAAUGUUUGAUGUUCUAACGUGGACCCGUAAUCCGGGUUGCGGACAGUGUCUGGUGGGUAGUUUGACUGGGGCGGUCUCCUCCUAAAGAGUAACGGAGGAGCACGAAGGUUGGCUAAUCCUGGUCGGACAUCAGGAGGUUAGUGCAAUGGCAUAAGCCAGCUUGACUGCGAGCGUGACGGCGCGAGCAGGUGCGAAAGCAGGUCAUAGUGAUCCGGUGGUUCUGAAUGGAAGGGCCAUCGCUCAACGGAUAAAAGGUACUCCGGGGAUAACAGGCUGAUACCGCCCAAGAGUUCAUAUCGACGGCGGUGUUUGGCACCUCGAUGUCGGCUCAUCACAUCCUGGGGCUGAAGUAGGUCCCAAGGGUAUGGCUGUUCGCCAUUUAAAGUGGUACGCGAGCUGGGUUUAGAACGUCGUGAGACAGUUCGGUCCCUAUCUGCCGUGGGCGCUGGAGAACUGAGGGGGGCUGCUCCUAGUACGAGAGGACCGGAGUGGACGCAUCACUGGUGUUCGGGUUGUCAUGCCAAUGGCACUGCCCGGUAGCUAAAUGCGGAAGAGAUAAGUGCUGAAAGCAUCUAAGCACGAAACUUGCCCCGAGAUGAGUUCUCCCUGAGACUUAGAGUCUCCUGAAGGAACGUUGAA
rnacentral:rRNA from 2 species